UGUCCAGGGGCGGGAAUCGAACCCACAACGUUCCACUUCCACUUACCAGGCAGAUGCCAUGUCCACUUGGCUGGGUUCGAUUCCCGCCCUGGAC